UGCAUUAACAUAUGCAAAAAGAAAGAAAGAAAGAACCGUCUUAAAGAGCCUGCAGAACAGAUGGAUUCCACAUGCAGGUGAUUGAAUGAUCUGAUCUCCUUCUUCUCAGAGCGCUUCUUCGGUUCAUUCUUCUUUUCA
rnacentral:ribozyme from 11 species